CAUCUUAGCUGGAUGGGUCAAUGGGCAAUCAAGAAGGCCCAUGGCCUCGGUUGGCAACUUCCAUUGCACUCUGGAAGGGCGCCAGCCUAAGGUCAACCCAUGUCUUAAUUUGUUGCAGUGGGGGCUUGUGAUAGCGCAACCUCUAU
rnacentral:snRNA from 1 species